AUUGAACGCUGGCGGCAGGCCUAACACAUGCAAGUCGAGCGGCAGCGGAAAGUAGCUUGCUACUUUGCCGGCGAGCGGCGGACGGGUGAGUAAUGUCUGGGAAACUGCCUGAUGGAGGGGGAUAACUACUGGAAACGGUAGCUAAUACCGCAUAACGUCGCAAGACCAAAGAGGGGGACCUUCGGGCCUCUUGCCAUCCGAUGUGCCCAGAUGGGAUUAGCUAGUAGGUGGGGUAACGGCUCACCUAGGCGACGAUCCCUAGCUGGUCUGAGAGGAUGACCAGCCACACUGGAACUGAGACACGGUCCAGACUCCUACGGGAGGCAGCAGUGGGGAAUAUUGCACAAUGGGCGCAAGCCUGAUGCAGCCAUGCCGCGUAUAUGAAGAAGGCCUUCGGGUUGUAAAGUACUUUCAGCGGGGAGGAAGGCGUUGAGGUUAAUAACCUCAGCGAUUGACGUUACCCGCAGAAGAAGCACUGGCUAACUCCGUGCCAGCAGCCGCGGUAA
rnacentral:rRNA from 1 species